GCCGGGCACGGUGGCACAUGCCUGUAGUCCCAGCUACUCAGGAGGCUUAGGUGGGAGGAUUGCUUGAGCACAGAAGUUCUGGGCUGUAGUGCACUAUGCUGAUCGAGUGUCCACAGUAAGUUUGGCAUCAAUAUGGUGACCUCCCGGGAGCAGGGGACCACCAGGUUGCCUAAGGAGGGGUGAACCAGCCCAGGUCGGAGUGGAGCAGGUUAGAACUCCUGUGCUGAUCAGUAGUGGGAUCGCGCCUGUGAAUAGCCACUGCACUCCAGCCUGGGCAACACAGCAAGACCACGUCUCU
rnacentral:SRP_RNA from 1 species